UCGGGCGGCACUCGGGAGGCUUGUGCGCCGGAGUCUGGUGUCGCCGGGGCGGGUCCCCACAAAGACCUUGGGGACUGAGGCCCGGCGGGGGGGGCACAAGCUCCUUCGCGGGCCCGGCAUCCAGCCCCGUAAAAUGCGAGGGUAGCUGAGUCAGAGAAAAAAGAAAGUCCAAAGAUGGCAUGAACAGACUUGGCAUUUGGGGGUAUCACUGUCCUGGGCUGAUUUCUGAGGGGAGCCAUAAGUUACUACAAUUUGUCAGAAAAAAAGAAGAGGAGAGGAGGGGAAAGAUGGCGGAGGAGUAGGGGACCCUAUUUCAAUUGGUCCUCGGAAUUGAGCUGGAUAACUAACUACCAGACCACUCUGAGCACCCACGAAACCAGCCUGAGAUGUAAGAAGAUCCGGAUCUCUACAAACAAUAUCGCAGGCAGUUGGUUUUGAGAAUACUUCACAGCUCCUGGCCACUCCCAGCACUCCAGAGACCCUGCAUGUGAGGUUUUAUUCACUUCCCAGAACCUUCUGAUAUCUUCAACUGUUCUGUGAAGUCUACUACAAUAUACUACACAAUGAUCACAAAUUUACCAAGUGACCACUGCAUGCUAUGUUGGCUGCCAGGGAGGAUGCAGAUCUGCACAGCCCAUGAUUCUUGCCCUAGGGGAGUUUGGAAAAACUUUGAAUGUGAAAGCCGCAUGACAUACAAAGGUUUCUGUCCCACAAUUUUCCAGUGAUUCUACAAGGAGCAAAAUUCAUAAGCAAAAGUUUUGAGCUAAAUACGUAACCAUCAGAUGGCCAGCAGUGCCUGAGGAAUGUCACAUAUAUCCCACCUUGCGGAUUGGGGGAUAUGGUGGGGUGUUAAUUUGUGCUUUGCCCUCAGCUUGCCUUCUCCUCUCUCAUCAGUUAGGCUCUCUCCUGGCCUGAUAGUGGCUGAUUGUUCUUACAUUCUUUCACAAGAUGGCUGGGGGCUAAAAUGACUUUUCUUAUGUCAGGAAAGCUAUGUCUUUCUGUCUUUAUCUGGAGAGUACUAACUCUUUCUGCUUACACAGUGUCUGAUUUAAUGCUUACAACAGUCCUGAGAUAGAUGGUGUGGUGCCCAACUGCAGUGUCUCUUGAUCAGAUGGGGGUCUCCAUAUGUGGGGUGACUAUCAUGUGGAAGACCACAAUGCAGGAGGUGAAAGAAUUCACCUAAGGCAGAUAGGAGAUAGAAGUUUCUCGACUACUCCAAAGGGGAGCUGUAGUCAGGACAGCAGAGGAGAGGUUGUCUGCAAGGAGGCAAUGGGUGGGGACUGUGUUUAAGGGGAAAGAUGAGGAAGUAUGUCGACAGAAUGGAAUUCUCCCUUUUUUGGUAACUGUCCCUGGUUGUAAGUAACCCACUGGUCAGUUAGGGCCUAUGGAUAUUUUGAAGUGGGUUGCCUGAUGGGCCUGUCUAUAUUCCAUUGCUCAAGACUGUUUGCCUAAAAGCAGCUUCUACAGAUGACAUAUCUCAAAUCAAAGAUGAAGCCCAUAGAAGAUUAUCAAGAUUAAGGAAAUGGAGAAAUAGACAUGGAUCCAGAAUUGAAACCAGGUAGUCAGGUUUUAAUGUCCAAUUCAUUUCAUUAUUCCAUGAGGCUUUUAAAAAAAAACUAUUUUUUAACAUAAUUUCUUUUCAACAAUCUAACCAUACUGAGAUAGGGAAACUGAAGGACUCCAUAAAAAUCUGCUUUUUUUUCUCCUUUCUGCUUCUAUUCUUGCUAGGACUUGCACCCCUCACUUUACAUGUUUCAUAAUGCACAGAGUAUAUGUCCUCCUUGUAAGUGACAGGAAGUUAAUGAUUUCUUUAGAAUAGAUAACAUCUAAGGAAGGAUCAAGUGAGAAUGACUGGACAAAGCCAGUCAUGUGCUCAUUCCAAAUCACUGGAGCUAGACAUCUCGAUGCCAAGACCCCCAGGCUCCGAGGAAUAAUUGAUUUAUGAAAGACACCUGGGCGCUCAUCUUUGUUCUAAACAGUUCCUGGAUGCCUGAGAGGAAACAUACAUCAGACCACAAUCCUCAAUAAAAACCCCAGACAUCAAGCAAAGACGAUACUCUCUCUCCUUUCCUUUCUGAGUCUCCCAGACAUUCUGUCUGUAUCUUCGCACUCUUUAUACCUUCAAUAAACUGUGCUCCCACCUCCUGCUGGCUUGCACGUAGCACUUGAUUUCUAUCCUGCACGUAGCCAGGAAGCCUCUUGGCUGGACCUGUGGGAACCCUCUCUGGGUCCUCUGACCCAGCCUGCCUACAUCAGUAUGAUCCAGCAAUUCCACUCCUGGGUAUUUAUCUGAAGGAAACAAAAACACUAACUUAAAAAGACCUGCAACUCUUAUGUUCAUUGCAUCAUUAUUUACAACAGCCAAGACAUGGAAGCAACCUUAAGUGUCCAUUGAUGGAUGAAUAGAUACAGAAAAUGUGAUAUAGAUAAAUAAAUACACACACACACACAAAUCACACUAUGGAAUAUUAUUUGGUUAUAAAUAGAAGGAAAUCCUGCCAUUUUUGACAAUAUGGGUGGACCUUGAGGGAAUCAUGCUUUGUGAAAUAAGCCAGACAAAGAAAAAUACCUUAUGAUCUCACUUAUAUAUGGAAUUAAAAAAAAAAAAAAGAACUUACAGAUACAAAGAACAGACUGUAGAUUGGUAGUUGCCAAAGGAGGAGUUUGUGGGGUGGGUGAAAUGGGUGAAAGGGGUCAAAAGAUUUAACUUCUAUUAUAAAAUAAAUAAAUCAUGGGGAUAUAAUAUAUAACAUGGUAACUAUAGUUAAUAAAACUCCACUGCAUAUUUGAAAGUUGCUAAUUUAAAGUUCCCAUUACAAGGAAAAAACUUUAAAUAUGUAUUGUGAUAGAUGUUAAAUAGACUUAUUGUGGUGACCAUUUUGCAAUAUAUACAAAUAUUGAAUCAUUAUGUUGUAUGUACACCUAAAACUAAUAUAAUGUUAUAUGGCAAGGAUACCUCAAUUAAAAAAAAAAGAAUAAAAACCUAAAAUGCAUUCAUUAUUUGGCCAAAUUAUACUGUUGUAGAUAAGCUAUAACCAUGGCCCUUACCUAAUUACUCUCUAAUCUACAUGGUUUUCUACCUUUGGGUAUUUAUGGCAGCCCUCAUAGGUGUAAGAACACCUAUCACACAGAUGUUAGAGCAUUUCAUACCUGAGAAGCUCCACUUCUUUCACAGAGGUGUAGGUCGACCUUGUCCUGGAGAUUGGUUUUAGAAUGUUUUGUGGUUGCUUUUUUGUUUUUGUUUCUGUUUUUGAUGAGAACAGAGCCAAUUGCCUAAGAUAUUAAGCUUUGUUCAUUAUUAAACAAAAGCUGGAACUCAGGUCUCUUCACUCAAACUUUAUAUAGGAGAUGUCUCCCUUUAGCUCUGUUCUUUCCUCAUGAGGGAAUAUCUUCUUUUUUUCUGAGUACAUUUUUCAUAUAAUCCGUUCUGAUAAUGGUAACCAAAUUGCUCUUUCUCAUUCUCGCCUAUUCUAGCUGAUGCUGAUGAAUUUAGCAUUUAACUAUGAACUCUCUCUUAUAUUUAGAUUUUCAUAUUUUCUUAUUUCCUACCUAGACUGUCAUACACAUUUUUUUUUUUUAGAUUUUAUUUAUUUAUUUGACAGAGAGAGACACACAGCGAGAGAGGGAACACAAGCAAGGGGAGUGGGAGAGGGAGAAGCAGGCUUCCCGCUGAGCAGGGAGCCCAAUGUGGGGCUUGAUCUCAGGACCCUGGAAUCGUGACCUGAGCCAAAGGCAGACGCUUAACGACUGCGUCACCCAGGCGCCCUUGUCAUACACUUUAACAUUUUAUCAGUUUCAUGUUUUUUGACAUAUAUAUAUAUAUAUAUAUAUAUAUAUAUACUCCAAUCAAGACAAUGUAUACACUACAAAUCAAGAUAAUAUUUAACACCCUGAAAAAUUUCCUGUGCUAUUAUUUAGUUCAUUCCCCCCCACAUCCAUUUACAGGCAAGCACUAAUCUGCUUUUUGUCACUGUAAAUUAGUUUGCAUUCUUUUUUUUUUUUUUUUUUAGAUUUUAUUGAUUUGAGAGAGAGACAGAGAUAGUGAGAUAGAGAGCACAAGCGGGGAGGAGAGGGAGAAGCGGGCUCCCCACAGAGCAGGGAGCCCGAUGCGGAACUCGAUCCCAGGACCCUGGGAUCAUGACCUGAGCCGAAGGCAGACGCUUAACCCACUGAGCCACCCAGGCGCCCAAUUAGUUUGCAUUCUUAACAAGAUGAUAUAAGUAUAUAAAUAUAUAUUAGUGAAGUGUCUGUUCAAAUUUUUUGCCUAUUUGUUUAUUGGAUUGUUUAUUUUCUUAUCGAGUUUGAAACUUCUUUAUAUAUUCUAACUGCAAGUCCUUGAUGAUAAAUGUGUUUUGCAAACAUUUCUUGGAAGUUUGUGGUUUUUGUUUUCAAUCUCUUUCAAAGAUAAGAACGUUUUAAUUUUGAUAAGGUUCAAUUUACUAUUAUUUUUCCUUUUAUUAAUCAUACUUUUUGUUUUUUAGACAUAUAUAUUGUAAUUUUUCUGUUUUCUUCUAGCAAUGGCUCCAGUCUUAUUUAUUUAAAAGAUUAUUAUUUUUCUAUUGAAAUAACUUUGCACUUUUGUCAAAAGUCAGU